CGGCGGACGGGUGAGUAAUGCCUAGGAAUCUGCCUGGUAGUGGGGGACAACGUUUCGAAAGGAACGCUAAUACCGCAUACGUCCUACGGGAGAAAGCAGGGACCUUCGGGCCUUGCGCUAUCAGAUGAGCCUAGGUCGGAUUAGCUAGUUGGUGAGGUAAUGGCUCACCAAGGCGACGAUCCGUAACUGGUCUGAGAGGAUGAUCAGUCACACUGGAACUGAGACACGGUCCAGACUCCUACGGGAGGCAGCAGC
rnacentral:rRNA from 1 species